GAGGAAGUGUGUGUGUGUGUGUGUGUGUGUGUGUGUGUGCGUGCGCGCGCGUGCACACACGCACGCGCCCCAGGCAGG
rnacentral:pre_miRNA from 1 species